GGCGAGGUGGUGGAAUUGGUAGACACGAGGGACUUAAAAUCCCUUGGGCAUUGCGCCCGUGCGGGUUCGAUCCCCGUCCUCGCUA
rnacentral:tRNA from 1 species